rnacentral:lncRNA from 10 species
GGUGUAAGAAACUCCACCACAUAGGUCUUGGAAGAGAAAGAGGACUCCACAAAGGAAGAAGAAAGGGAGUAUCCCGACUUACAGAUAGAAAACCAGCAAGGAGGUCUCAAGGAUGGAAUUGUCAAUUGUUUCAAAUGCUGCUUAGAGGUCCAGUGUAUUUCUUUCAUUACAAUUCUAUUAUGCAAACUUUAGCAAGUAUGUCACAAUAUUCAUUCAAACAAAUUUGUAUCUACAUGCUAGGCAUUCUUCUAGGUCCUGGAGCUAAAGCAGGUAAUAAAGCAGACUUGCUCUGUGUAAGGCAGAUUAAAAUAUUUCAAUAAGACUGAGGUAACAUGAGAGACCUUGUCAAAUGCUAUAUUGCAAUCUGUGAUGGUAAUAUUGUCAACUUGACUGGAUUGAAGGAUGCAAAGUGUUGUUUCUGGGUAUGUCUGUGAGGGUGUUGCCAGAGGAGAUUAACAGUUGAGUCAAUGGACUGGGAGAGAGAGACCAACCCUCAAUCUGAAUGGGUACCAUCCAAUUGGUUGCCAGGAUGGCUAGAAAAAGCAAGCAGAAGGUGGAAUUAGCUGACCUGCUGAGUCUUCCAGCCUUCAUCUUUCUCCCCUACUGGAUGCUUCCUGCGCUUGCACAUCAUACUCCACGUUCUUCAGAUUUUGGACUCUUAGAAUUUUACCAGUGGUUUGCCAGGGGCUCUGGGAUCUUCAGCCACAGACUGAAGGCUGCACUGUUGGCUUUCCUACUUUUGAGGUUUUGUGACUCAGACUGAGCCACUACUGGCGUCCUUGCUCCUCAGCUUGCAGACAGACGGCCUAUGGUAGGACUACACCUUGUGAUCGUCUGUGUACCCUCUCAUGCAGAAUUCAGUGGCCAGAAGCUUGUAUCUUGGUCUUGGAUAAUACAGUUAUCUCUGUAUUUUGAGUUUCUUCCUUAUUCAGAAGCAGAGGAUGGGGAUCUGGAAGCAGUGCCCCGAGGCAUGGGAGCCCUCUUUCUGGAUGGAUUUAUAGUGCUUGGCUUCAGUCUUACAUUGUUUUGCCUUCUGGUAUCCUGAAUGUUCCCCUGGCGAUCUCCUGGAAAGGGUUUCUCAAUUUAUUUAUGUCCAGAGUUGAUGUUUUAUGAACUAAUCAUUCUUUAUUGACCACUUAGGAAUGGUCUUUAAACAGAAUUAUUAUUAUUUUUCCUUUUUUCUAAUGGACUAACAGGCCACUGACCCUAAAUGUAUGGUUCACUUACAUGUGUCAUCAAUUUGUGAGUUACUUGAUAUUUCAAAUUGCCUUGAAUAUUGCCGUGUUUAUAGGUGUACAGUAUUUUUAAUGUUGCCAUUAACUUUAUUGCUACUUUUACAAUUACUAUCUCCCACUAAUGUUUCUCCCAUUUUGUUAUUAAACGAAUAUGGAAAUGAGAAAUGAAGAAUAAACAAAAUUAUGACUUGUUUCUGAUGCAAGAGUGGCAGCAUUAUUUUAAAAUAGCUACAUAGUAAUGGUUUGCUUUUUAAAUGUAUCCCCCUUUCCUUAGAAACUUGCCUAAGGAUCAACUCG